GACGAACGCUGGCGGCGUGCUUAACACAUGCAAGUCGAACGGAAAGGCCCUGCUUUUGUGGGGUGCUCGAGUGGCGAACGGGUGAGUAACACGUGAGUAACCUGCCCUUGACUUUGGGAUAACUUCAGGAAACUGGGGCUAAUACCGGAUAGGAGCUCCUGCUGCAUGGUGGGGGUUGGAAAGUUUCGGCGGUUGGGGAUGGACUCGCGGCUUAUCAGCUUGUUGGUGGGGUAGUGGCUUACCAAGGCUUUGACGGGUAGCCGGCCUGAGAGGGUGACCGGCCACAUUGGGACUGAGAUACGGCCCAGACUCCUACGGGAGGCAGCAGUGGGGAAUAUUGCACAAUGGGCGGAAGCCUGAUGCAGCAACGCCGCGUGCGGGAUGACGGCCUCGGUUGUAACGACUUCGCCUCGUGACGAAGCGUGAGUGACGGUAA
rnacentral:rRNA from 1 species